UGGCACCGCUGGUAGAUAUGGGAAGCGGCCUUCCCGCCGUUUCCCACCGACCGCCUUGUUGAAGCGGACUCUGCCUACGCGGGAGCUGCGUUCCGCGCAACGCCUGCUGUCGACGCCGCCCGAUUUCGCCGCCUACGUCGAUACAGCUCACACGCCUGCCUCGACACCAUCCAAGUAUGCCUGCACUACCACUCUCCGUCGUCACGCUCCCCUACCUCGCCUCCCAGCGGAGGACUUCAAGAUCGUCUACAGACCGGGAGGAGGGCUUGACCUCCGCGCAACCACUAACGGAGCCCUGCUCCAAAUUCUUUGCACUCGUGCGACCAUCGACUACGCCACCGCACGCACCGCCGACCGUGUACGGAUAAAUCCGUACAACUCCCUUACUGUCAGCACCCCAUCUGAGCCGCGCGCUCGCCUCUACCUCCGGGUCUCGGAACUCCGCCUGGGUGCCAUAUCUUACCCCCUGCGUGCCUACAUGGCCGCACCCGACAACGCCCUCCGCGGCAUCAUACACAACGCAGUGGACUCCCAGACCCAGGACGAGAUCGUCCAAGACCUCCAGUCAAUGAACGUGAACACCCCCUACGCCAUCGCUGACGCACGUACGCGAUGGGGCGCUCCCAGUCCAUCCUCAUCACCUUCGUCGGCACUUCUACUCUUCCCUCCACCAUCGUCUUCAACUGCGGGGUCUACCGCUGCCACCCGUUCCGCCCGAGAGCCGAGGCCUGCACGAACUGCUCGGCUCCCGGCCACCGAGCGGAUGUCUGCACCAAGCCCAAGUCCGCCCUCUGUCACCGCUGCGGCCAGGCCCACAAGCCAGUCGAGCCCCCGACCUGCGUCCCCUGCUGCAUCCUGUGCAAGGGAGCCCACCUCACGGGCUCGCGCCCGUGCGGGCUCCGGUUCGAGCGGAACGGCCCGUCAUCGCCCCCGGCCACCUCCAAGCACCAGCCUCCCCCACCAGCGCCACCCACCGUGCCCAUCCUCAAGACCUCCCGGCCUUCCCGCCCCCGCCGCCACUCUGUCUCCCGUGGCGCCCAGUCUGCCAGCUGCCACCGCUCCGUCUCCUUCCCGCCUCUGCCUAGGUCCGAGGCGUCCACCGCCCCCGCCACCACCACCACAUCACCGAUAUGCUGCGUGGCUGGAUUAUUCAAACAGGAUGGACCUGGCGGAGCUUCCGAAAGAGCAAGUGCACCGAAGCCAAUACCUCUGCUCAGACCAUUUCACAGAUGGUGAUUAUGCUGAUCCACUCAAAAGGAAACUCUUGUGGUCAGCAUUGCCAUCUGUGAGGGUCAGGAGUUGGUUCCUGACAGCCACAGAUGAAAUAGCAAAGGAAAGCCGCCUGGCACAAGGUCCAGACAUUGGGGAGCCUGUUGAUCUGCAAAUGGCAGAAAAGUACUCAGUGUCACCAGAGGGUACCACAGAAGAGUCAGUUCUGGAAGCAGUGGCUAUGGAGCACCAACUCUCGCUAGAACCGGGGCCGUCAGGGCUACAGAAAGACACCAGCCAUGACGUUCAGAUGGAGCGACGCGAGGAAAUGGCAAAAACCAUUAGAACGGGACAUAAUGCAUGCUGUGCGGCCCAGUGGUGCGAAAACACGGGCAGGAACAGCAAUCUCAAGUUCUUCCGUUUCCCACAGGAUGACAGGUGCAACAAGUGGCGACUGUUUGCAGACAGAGAAGACCUGGCAUCCCUGACACCAGAGGAGAUGUGCAGAGGGUACCGUCUCUGCUCCGAGCACUUUACGGACCGCGACUAUAUGGAUCCGUACAAAACAAGGCUGCUUUUUUCUGCGGUGCCAUCUGUGAAGUUCGUGGAGUCUUGUCAGAAGGUUUUGUUUCUGCGUGCUAAAGUGAUCCCUGGAGUAGAAGCUUCUGUUGCACCUAGCCAGGAUGAGCCAGCUGGAGAAAGAGUUGCUGCAAUAGAUAAAUGCAAGAGCGUGCCCGUUACCCAAGGAUCUCGCAGGAUUGCAUGUCUACUGCACACAGAGCGACCUGCGCUUAAUUUUAAAAGAUAUCGUCUCUUGAGCCGACUAGCUCUUUCUCGACAAAGAAGUCCGGCACCUGAAACUGACUAUGAAACCACCAUUCCCGAGCCACUAGAGGUUUCACUAAAUGCUUAGGACUUCUUUCUCUUGGGAGAAACUUGUGGGUCAGAAGUGGACAAGGAAGUGACAGGUGACAGGGAUGACUGCUCAAAUAGUAGCAGCCCAUGUAUGGCUGAAGGCAUAGACUGUUUUUUGGAUGAUGAGGACACUGUUGCUACCAGGACCAUCGGACUGCAAACAGAAGAACGUGACACUGAAGCAACCACCUUUUCAUCAUUCUUAUGUUACAUGACUCGGGACGGGGUGGCAACCGAAGUUGCUCACAAAGCAGCCGACUCGGCACUCACGGAAACUCCAAGUAGUUCAAGAGAAGUACCCAAGAAGUGGCACAUAUCUUACAUUGUUUACUGAAAUCAAAAGAUGCACAACAGAUGUUACUUCAUAUGUACAAAUGUAAAUUAUAUCGACAAUGUA